GCGACGGGGAACUCUUUGGCCAGCGGGGAGGGGGCGCUGCGUCCUCUUUAUGUUUCUAGCCCCUCUGGAGCAAGUUGGCUGGCUCUUCUGUGGGGAGGAGAGAAACGGCCCGGGUGCCACUGCUUGCCAGUGCUUUUAGCCUGCCCACAACCUGUUCUCAGUACCAAAUACGAUGAUAGGUGAGGUGUUUCUAGCUCAUAGAACUGUAGAGCUGGAAGGGACCACGAGGGUCAUCUAGUCCAACCCCCUGCAAUGCAGGAAUCUUUUGCCCAACGUGGGGCUCAAACCCACGACCCUGAGAUUAAGAGUUCCCUGCUCAACCAAGGGGGAACUGUCACGCUUCGUUGUCAUUUUUGCAAUGGCCAGGAGGUGUGAUGUUAUAUUUAUAGUGCUGAAAUUUUGUGGCUUUUAUAUGUUGUUACAUUUGCUAUUAUGUUGCUGUUUCGUUAUGUUAUUUUAAAAAUUGUUCUUUCGAUGGUUGAUUUUGAGAUGCACCCCUGCUUUCUGUGUUUUCAGCCGCUUUGAGAAUGAGUGAGUAAACCCCACAGCAGAAUAUGUUUCCAAGCAGACAUGCAGAGGAUCGCCCUGCACAAGAAUUGGUUUUUUUAAUGGCUUUUGAUCUGAUUUCUUUCUGAUAUAAAUUGUCACCUGCCAUUGCACCAUAAUUAUUUCUUAAUAUUGAAGAUGAAGAAGAUAAUGUAAACAACGUCUGUACUUCACUCAGUCACAGUCAUGGUUACAGUUUUCUCAGUUUUCUUUUGUUUAUCUGUACUUCCUAUUGACUUUUUACAGCUG